GACCUGGUGUUGUAGUGGUAACAUACCCUUUACAAUUUGUUCGCUCAUCCUAAUGUUUUCUAAGGGAGUCCCUCGUUCGAACCGGGGCCAGGUCA